rnacentral:rRNA from 1 species
GAUGAACGCUAGCGACAGGCUUAACACAUGCAAGUCGAGGGGCAGCACAGGUAGCAACACCGGGUGGCGACCGGCGCACGGGUGAGUCACGCGUAUGCAACUUGCCUAUCAGAGGGGAAUAACCCGGCGAAAGUCGGACUAAUACCGCAUGCAGCAGGGGCCCCGCAUGGGGAUAUUUGCUAACGAUUCAUCGCUGAUAGAUAGGCAUGCGUUCCAUUAGGCAGUUGGCGGGGUAACGGCCCACCAAACCGACGAGGGAUAGGGGUUCUGAGAGGAAGGUCCCCCACAUUGGUACUGAGACACGGACCAAACUCCUACGGGAGGCAGCAGUGAGGAAUAUUGGUCAAUGGGCGCGAGCCUGAACCAGCCAAGUCGCGUGAGGGAUGAAGGUUCUAUGGAUCGUAAACCUCUUUUAUAAGGGAAUAAAGUGCGGGACGUGUCCCGUUUUGUAUGUACCUUAUGAAUAAGGAUCGGCUAACUCCGUGCCAGCAGCCGCCGUAA